CCAAUAGCGUAUAUUAAAGUUGUUGCAGUUAAAAAGCUCGUAGUUGAAUUUCGAGAUCGGUUUAUUGGUCGUGCUAUUGUACGUACUGGUAUUACCGGUUUCUCCUUUCUGACGAACCUUAAUGCCAUUAAUUUGGUGUUUUGGGAAAUCAGGACUGUUACUUUGAAAAAAUUAGAGUGUUUAAAGCAGGCUCACGCUUGAAUUCAUUAGCAUGGAAUAACGGAAUAGGACGUUUGAUUCUAUUUUGUUGGUUUCUAGGAUCGACGUAAUGAUUAAUAGGGAUAGUUGGGGGCAUUAGUAUUCAAUUGUCAGAGGUGAAAUUCUUGGAUUUAUUGAAGACUAACUACUGCGAAAGCAUUUGCCAAGGAUGUUUUCAUUAAUCAAGAACGAAAGUUAGGGGAUCGAAGACGAUCAGAUACCGUCGUAGUCUUAACCAUAAACUAUGCCGACUAGGGAUCGGAUGAUGUUAAUUUUUUAAUGACUCAUUCGGCGCCUUACG
rnacentral:rRNA from 1 species